UCUCUCAUGUCAACAUGACAGAAAAAGUGCCCCCUUGCCACGUUUCAACAGCCUGACAUUCACGUCGAGAAAUAAAACCUGCAUAUGUCACGGUGGACACGAUUUUUAGCUCGGAGGCUAGCAUCUUAUUUAUGAGAGCAGCUGUGUGAUUGGGGCUGGCUAAGGUUAGCUUCUGGUGGGCCCCAAGUACGCCAUCAUCAAAACAGAGACAAAGCAGGUUAGGUAAGCUCGGCUCUUUAUCCUGCUGUUACACACACAACCUAUCACAUACACAACGCUGCUGCUCUGUUUGUGCAAGUCACCACUAACUGAACAUAAUUACAGACGAACAGAAAAAAAACAAAACCAGUCCAGAUGAUGUGCUGAUAUCCAAUCCAGUACUUAAAGAACCAUCGUCUACCAUAUUUUAAAGAGGAUCCAACAGAUGGGAUGCGCUCCGUUUGGGCAUAAACUCACAUUCGCUUCCCUAAAUGAUGCUGCAUUCUCAUCAAAGUAUAAAAAGGUUACAUUCCAUCGACGAGAUCUGCUUUCGGGUUCAAAACCGAGGAGAGGCUCAUCAGAUUAAGCGAGCAGUGAUCACCCUGAACUGUUGCUUUUGAACACAAUCUGUGGGAGUAAAUACUUACCUGUGUUUGAAGCUGCAUCAUGUCUUCUUCAAUUUUCAUAUUUGAGUUAUUCAAUUCCUUGAUUUCAUGAUCCAGAUGGUGAAUGUCCUCUUUGUUUUCAACGCCUGGAUUACACAGACCCCAAGUAUUAUAGUUUAAAAGUAUUUUUUUUUAUG